UAUACGGUGGGCCAGCAAUGGACUGAAUUUCAAUUGACAUUGCUUCAGGAUUAUAACCUUUACGAUAACAACACAAGGCUUAUAUUUUUGUACAGUUAAAUAAUAUAUGUUGACUGGUAUUCGUAUAAAUAACCACACGGAUCGAUUGCAGGCGAGUCUUCUGUUCCAUUGUUCGUGGAAGUACGUUGCAUCUAAGUCUUUAUCAAUAAAAAAUUAAGAUGCCUUGUGGAGGUUGUGGCGAUAGUUGCAAAUGCACUACGACUCAGUGCUGUCAGAGUUGCAAAUGUGAUUCAUCCUGUUCUUGUUCAUGCAAGCGGUCGACCACUGACUCUACCACCAAAAAGAAGUAAUCAAGAAUGAAAAAAGCACUGUAAAACAGAUAUAUAAUUCUGUUUUUUAAUUAUUUUUUUCAAAAAUGCUGUUUUUCAUUUUCAUUCGAUAUGUAUAAUUAACAUUCAAUUAUCAUUGUAGAUAAUGAUAAGAUGAAUAUAUUAAAACUUUUUUGAUUGAAUUAAUAAGAAGUAAAUUAACUAUAGCGGAUAACAUUGUUUGUAAUCUAUGUGUAUUUUACAUUUUGUAAAAACAAAUUUUAGCUACAAAUAAUUAAUAGUUCAUAAUUACGCACAAAAUGUUUGUGCGUCACGUCCGUAAUCCGUAAACAAGUGUUAGAAAAAUAAUAAUGCUAGCAAUUAUACAAUUAUAUUGUUUCUUAAAAGGUAUUAAAUAAAAUAUUGUUGCCUAUUACAAAAUGAUUAAAAAUGUAUUUGAAUUAUAAAUAACAAUGCAAUAA